UACGGCGAAACUGCGAAUGGCUCAUUAUAUAAGUUAUCGUUUAUUUGAUAGCACGUUACUACUUGGAUAACCGUGGUAAUUCUAGAGCUAAUACAUGCUAAAAAUCCCGACUCCGGAAGGGAUGUAUUUAUUAGAUUAAAAGCCAAUGCCCUCUGGGCUCACAGGUGAUUCAUGAUAACUUCUCGAAUCGCAUGGCCUUGCGCCGGCGAUGGUUCAUUCAAAUUUCUUCCCUAUCAACUUUCGAUGCGAAGGUCUUGUCUUCGCAUGGUUACAACGGGUAACGGAGGGUUAGGGCUCGACCCCGGAGAAGGAGCCUGAGAGACGGCUACUACAUCCAAGGAAGGCAGCAGGCGCGCAAAUUACCCAAUCCCGACACGGGGAGGUAGUGACAAAAAAUACUGAUACAGGGCUCUUUUGGGUCUUGUAAUUGGAAUGAGUACAAUUUAAAUCCCUUAACGAGGAACAAUUGGAGGGCAAGUCUGGUGGACGU
rnacentral:rRNA from 1 species